CCCUUAGAUGUUCUGGGUCGCACGCGCGCUACACUGACGAAUGCAACGAGCUUAUAACCUUGGCCGAAAGGUCUGGGUAAUCUCCAAAUUUCGUCGUGAUGGGGAUAGAUUAUUGCAAUUAUUAAUCUUCAACGAGGAAUGCCUAGUAAGCGCAAGUCAUCAGCUUGCGUUGAUUACGUCCCUGCCCUUUGUACACACCGCCCGUCGCUCCUACCGAUUGAAUGGUCCGGUGAAGCGUUCGGACCGUGGCCUUUGGACGGUUCGCCGUCUGUUGGCUGCGGGAAGUUCGUUAAACCUUAUCAUUUAGAGGAAGGAGAAGUCGUAACA
rnacentral:rRNA from 1 species